rnacentral:lncRNA from 1 species
GACAGCAAAAAUGGAUGACAAACGAUUUUACAACUUGGUAUUCAUGUUGUUGUUUUUCUUUGUGCAAGAAUUAUUUUAUUGGGUGUCGUCCAAUCUUGACUCUUUUUCACUCGAAUUUUUCUUUGGAUUAUCACAUUAAUGCGUGAGUCUAUUUCCAAGGCAAGUGCUUAUUCUUCAUUUCUCUAUUUUUUUAUUUUUU